AUACGUAGGGGGCGAGCGUUGUCCGGAAUGAUUGGGCGUAAAGGGCGCGUAGGCGGCGCGGUAAGUCUGGAGUGAAAGUCCUGCUUUCAAGGUGGGAAUUGCUUUGGAUACUGCCGCGCUUGAGUGCAGGAGAGGUUAUCGGAAUUCCCGGUGUAGCGGUGAAAUGCGUAGAGAUCGGGAGGAACACCAGUGGCGAAGGCGGGUAACUGGACUGCAACUGACGCUGAGGCGCGAAAGUGUGGAGAGCAAACAGGAUGAGAUACCCUGGUAGUCCACACUGUAAACGAUGAAUGCUAGGUGUAAGAGGUAUCGACCCCUUUUGUGCCGGAGGCAACACAAUAAGCAUUCCGCCUGGGGAGUACGGCCGCAAGGUUGAAACUCAAAUGAAUUUUCGGGU
rnacentral:rRNA from 1 species